AUUGUGUGAAUACAUAGCACAUUCGAGGUAGACGCAGAGAACUGAAACAUCUAAGUACCUGCAGGAAGAGAAAGAAAAUUCGAUUCCCUGAGUAGCGGCGAGCGAAACGGGAAAAGCCCAAACCAGCAAGCUUGCUUGUUGGGGUUGUAGGACUCCAAUAUGGUAGUUCUUUCAGAUAGUCGAAUGACUUGGAAAAGUCAGUCAAAGAGGGUAAAAACCCCGUAGACGAAAUGUGGAAGACACCUAGGAGGAUCCUGAGUACGGCGGAACACGAGAAAUUCCGUCGGAAUCCGGGAGGACCAUCUCCCAAGGCUAAAUACUCCCUAGUGACCGAUAGUGAACCAGUACCGUGAGGGAAAGGUGAAAAGCACCCCGGAAGGGGAGUGAAAUAGAACCUGAAACCGUGUGCCUACAACAAGUCAAAGCCCGUUAAUGGGUGAUGGCGUGCCUUUUGUAGAAUGAACCGGCGAGUUACGAUUGCAUGCGAGGUUAAGUUGAAGAGACGGAGCCGCAGCGAAAGCGAGUCUGAAUAGGGCGUUUGAGUAUGUAGUCGUAGACCCGAAACCAUGUGAUCUACCCAUGUCCAGGUUGAAGGUGCGGUAAAACGCACUGGAGGACCGAACCCACGUACGUUGAAAAGUGCGGGGAUGAGGUGUGGGUAGCGGAGAAAUUCCAAACGAACUUGGAGAUAGCUGGUUCUCUCCGAAAUAGCUUUAGGGCUAGCCUCGGAAUUGAGAAUGAUGGAGGUAGAGCACUGUUUGGACUAGGGGCCCAUCUCGGGUUACCGAAUUCAGAUAAACUCCGAAUGCCAUUCAUUCAUAUCCGGGAGUCAGACUGUGAGUGAUAAGAUCCAUAGUCGAAAGGGAAACAGCCCAGACCACCAGCUAAGGUCCCAAAAUAUAUGUUAAGUGGAAAAGGAUGUGGGGUUGCACAGACAACUAGGAUGUUGGCUUAGA
rnacentral:rRNA from 1 species